rnacentral:rRNA from 1 species
GAUGAACGCUGGCGGCGUGCCUAAUACAUGCAAGUCGAGCGAACGGACGAGAAGCUUGCUUUUCUGAUGUUAGCGGCGGACGGGUGAGUAACACGUGGAUAACCUACCUAUAAGACUGGGAUAACUUCGGGAAACCGGAGCUAAUACCGGAUAAUAUUUUGAACCGCAUGGUUCAAAAGUGAAAGACGGUCUUGUUGUCACUUAUAGAUGGAUCCGCGCUGCAUUAGCUAGUUGGUAAGGUAACGGCUUACCAAGGCAACGAUGCAUAGCCGACCUGAGAGGGUGAUCGGUCACACUGGAACUGAGACACGGUCCAGACUCCUACGGGAGGCAGCAGUAGGGAAUCUUCCGCAAUGGGCGAAAGCCUGACGGAGCAACGCCGCGUGAGUGAUGAAGGUCUUCGGAUCGUAAAACUCUGUUAUUAGGGAAGAACAUAUGUGUAAGUAACUGUGCACAUCUUGACGGUACCUAAUCAGAAAGCCACGGCUAACUACGUG